UCCCGUUUCUGAAAGAGGCAGCGCUGAGGCUAAGGGACCGCACAAAGCAGAUGGGCCACCACCAGCCACCCCGAUGCGUUCGGACAGCGGUGAGGGGAUUGAUUCCCCGCUGCCCCAAGAGAGGCCCGAGCGCUGAGGGAGGACUUCUGCUGCCAGUGAGUGAGCAGAAAUAUGAAGAAAAAGGAUUGCAAAAGCCAUGAGACAAUCUUCAGCACUCUUACUGACUGCAGAGUCAUCAGCUGAAACUGAAUAACUGAAGUGUGAGGAACUAUGCUGUCCUUUGAUCACAUCAAAACUUUGCAGAACACAGGAAAGAGCAAACCAUGCCCUUUGUACAGACAGCAUGUUUGGACUUGGCUUGGGAACAAUUUGAGUUGCAGUCUCUAGCACACAGUGCAGAUUGCAGGUGAGCAUCGGAGACAGCAGGCAGCUGUGUGAACACAGUCAUUUUGAUGCAAACAAAUGUUUGAGCACUUCUACACAUUGGCAUUAUGUUAGAAAUUAGAUUCCAAGAAUGAGUGACCUGAAAAACUGCAGUUCAAGAGUUUCAUUAUUCUCUAGGACUUCUGCAAGGUUUUUGAUUUGUUUUUAGAUUUUUAGGGCUUGAUGAACAGGUCUCCUGAAUCUACAGAUAGUGUAUCAACUAGGAAAACCACUUUUUUCAAGCCAAAUCUUCUUACAGAUGUGGGGGUUUUUUUCUAGGUUUACAGAUAAAUGCUGUUCAGCUUUACUGUAAAAGUGGUGUACUCACUCCUACAUUUGAACCUCCUGGAAUUUUCAAACUGGAAAUAAAAUUUCAGGUACAGUUUCUUACUGGUACAUACUGUUUUAAACACACUUGAAAGUUUCAUUAAAUUAUUUCAAACUGCUCAUAAAGUUGUAAAAACAAAGCUUCUUAG